UUUUGUGCUGCUGCCCUGACUUUCUUCUAGUUCCUGACAUACUUCCUCCCUUCCUGUCAACUGACCCUCCAUCAAUUCCCUGCAUGCUUCUAUGGUCUUUAAAGAGACACAAAAGCAGAAUUUAGCCAGAAUUAGAAUUAGAAUACCUUCACUGUUCACAUGUACGAUGAGAUUAAAAUAGCCAUCUCCAAGCAGUGCAAAAAUACAGAUAUACAAUGCAAACACAUAAACACAGGACAUGAAGAGAUAAAAAACGGAGGUAGGGUGUGCAGUCCUGAGGAGUGUGUACAUUGCAAAUAAAUUACAAAUACGGUACUAUGCAGUGUAAGAUAUGUAUAUAUAUUGCACAUUAUAUAUUAUUAUAUUUUUUAUAUAUAUAUAUGUAAUAAUUAUUAUAAUAUAAUAAGAUAAGAAAAGUAAAGUACACGGGUGCAGCAGCUGGGCUCCACGCUGCCUUACAGUUCGUUAAUUUCAUGAUACAAGUAAUUGUCGUGCCAUUUGGGUGUGCACGUAAAUAUGCGAAAAUAGUGCAACCGACGGUGUUUGCAAAUGGAUUAUUUCCGAUAACAAUGGAUUAUUUUGGCGAUGGAUUAGAAAUUAUCAAGAGCAUGGAGCGAGCUAGUCUGCAAACAAGACAAUCUUCAAACAUGUACCUCUCGUUCCUCUGCCUGGCAAGCACGUUUCUGCGCUCUUUCGCUGCGCAUAAGAGCAGCGCCCGGGUCCGAUCUGACGGGUAUGUCCGUGUCUCCAGCACUAUAUCCACUAAAAUUAAAAAUAGUUGGCACAGCAUCUGGCUUCAGGCGAUUGGUGGGACGGCGAACAAAUCUCCCAUCUUCAGAAAAAGCUCCCUCUUCGAUGUAAUCAGCCUCUAUAAAGUGGUCGCUACAUACUCUCUGCCCUGGUCCCAUUGGGGGGCUGAGGCGUUUCAAUGCAGCUAACCAUCUUCGGAGCACUUCAGGCUUCUUGACGGGAAUUACAUGGAAAUGAACUAUUCUACCGCUCUCCUUUAACCGAUAAAAUUUGUUUGAACAGCCAGGGGCAAUACAAAAGGACCCCCCUGUUCUUCUUCCAAUAUCCGACAUGUUUAUUUUAAAGAGCCAACCAUUCUGAUGACGUAGCGCCUGCGUUUUUAAAACAUGGCUGCGCCCUAGAGGCGAAAGUCGUUAUAAACAUGUCAUUUUACGGUGAAACUACUUGAAUUUCAGUAUUGAUGAAAAUCCAUG